CCCAGGUGUCCUCCAGGUGUGCCCAGGUGUCCCCCAGGUGUGCCCAGGUGUCCCCCAGGUGUGCCCAGGUGUGGCUCGGAGCCGUUGAGGAAGGUGGCCGCCCCUCCCCCGCCGUAGACCAGAACCCCUCCGGACCAAUCGAAGGCGCCGACGGCUCCCAGGGCCGGACCGGCCUGGAGGGGGUCAAAGGUCAAAGGUCAGCGGGGUCAGAGGGGUCAAAGGUCAAGGGGGUCAGAGGGGUCAAAGGUCAAGGGGGUCAGAGGGGUCAAGCAUCAAAGGUCAGAGGGGUCAAAGGUCAGGGGUCAGUGGGGUCAAAGGGGUCAGAGGUCAAGGGUCAGUGGACAGGGGUCAAGGGUCAGGGGUCAUCUACAGGGCUCAGGGUCAGUGGUCAGUGGACAGGGGUCAGGGGUCAGGGGUCAGAGGUCAGGGGUCAGGGGUCAGAGGUCAGGGGUCAGAGGUCAGGGGUCAGGGGUCAGAGGUCAGAGGUCAGGGGUCAGUGGUCAGAGGUCAGGGGUCAGGGGUCAGGGGUCAGAGGUCAGAGGUCAGGGGUCAGUGGUCAGUGGUCAGAGGUCAGGGGUCAAAGGUCAGGGGUCACCUACAGGGGUCAGGGCGGCGCUGAACCCCUCCUGGGCCAUCUCCAGCUGGAAGGAGCUGCUGAGGGCGGAUUGCGUACCUGGGACAGGUGAGGGACAGGUGAGGGACAGGUGAGGGACAGGUGAGGGACAGGUGUGACCCCAGGUGUGACCCCAGGUGUGUCCCCAGGUGUGUCCAGGUGUCCCCAGGUGUGCCUGGGUGUCCCCAGGUGUGUCCCAGGUGUGUCCCAGAUGUGUCCCCAGAUG
rnacentral:lncRNA from 1 species